CUUGAUGGAGCCGAGCCACAGGGGCUGGUCGGCCGGCCGCUCCUUGCCGUAGGUGGCGAGGAGCGCCUGCGCCUC
rfam:Streptomyces aurantiacus JA 4570 Seq281, whole genome shotgun sequence.